rnacentral:rRNA from 1 species
GACGAACGCUGGCGGCGUGCUUAACACAUGCAAGUCGAACGGUGAAGCGCCUUCCUUUUUGGUGGGUGUGGAUGAGUGGCGAACGGGUGAGUAACACGUGAGUAACCUGCCCCCUUCUUCUGGAACCGCAUGAAAGUGUGGCUAAUACGGGAUAUUCUGGGUCUGUCGCAUGAUGGGUCUGGGAAAGAUAUUGUUUCGGUGGGGGAUGGGCUCGCGGCCUAUCAGCUUGUUGGUGGGGUGAUGGCCUACCAAGGCGGUGACGGGUAGCCGGCCUGAGAGGGUGGACGGUCACACUGGGACUGAGACACGGCCCAGACUCCUACGGGAGGCAGCAGUGGGGAAUAUUGCACAAUGGGCGCAAGCCUGAUGCAGCGACGCCGCGUGAGGGAUGGAGGCCUUCGGGUUGUGAACCUCUUUCGCCAGUGAAGCAGGCCUGCCUCGUUUGUGGGUGGGUUGACGGUAGCUGGAGAAGAAGCGCCGGCUAACUACGUG